rnacentral:lncRNA from 1 species
GCAGACAUGACACUAAAAAUUAUACAGACGCAGCAACCCAAAGUGGUUGAAAGAUCAUAUCAGAUGGAAAUCUUUCCAUCCUAAGUAUAAUCACAAACUAAAUGAAUAGAUAGGAAAUGAGUUAGCUUCACGUCAAGUAAAUUACGUACGUUGAUUCAAGAGAGUUAAAGCUUAAUUUAGCAAACGCAUGUCUUUUUUCGCCAAUCAACACAUCAAUAAGGAAGCUGAUGGAAACUAUACGGACAAAAAUCUCUUAUAGACCAGAUGGUCAAAAAAAAAUCUAGAGCAUCCAAAAAAAAUCUACAUGGACCAAUUAAAGAGAAAUGACGAUUUUGCCGAGUAAUAUGAGCCAUUGGAUCGUCACAUCUAUGUUUUAAUCUUGGCCAUACAACUUCAUACGUGUCUAAUUCUCUCUCCUUCUCUUUCUUUAAUCUCAACCAC